GCAGAAAGCAAAAGUGUAGCUGCACUCACGGACUGUAGUUUAAAAUCUUCAAUUCUUUAUUGAUUCACAUUAAAAAGAUCUUUUAAUGUGAAUCAAUAAAGAAUUCAAGAUUUUAAACUACAGUCCGUGAGUGCAGCUACACUUCUGCUUUCUGC